GCCUGAGUGGCUCAGUUGGUUAAGCAUCUGAUUUCAGCUCAGGUCAUGAUCUCAGGGUCCUGGGAUUGAGUCCCACCUCAAGCU
rnacentral:tRNA from 1 species